rnacentral:rRNA from 1 species
UACGUAGGGUGCGAGCGUUGUCCGGAAUUAUUGGGCGUAAAGAGCUCGUAGGCGGUCUGUCGCGUCGAUCGUGAAAACUUGGGGCUUAACCCUGAGCUUGCGGUCGAUACGGGCAUGACUGGAGUUCGGCAGGGGAGACUGGAAUUCCUGGUGUAGCGGUGAAAUGCGCAGAUAUCAGGAGGAACACCGGUGGCGAAGGCGGGUCUCUGGGCCGAUACUGACGCUCAGGCACGAAAGCGUGGGGAGCAAACAGG